rnacentral:lncRNA from 1 species
UUUAUCAGCUGAGAAGAUCAGAGCAGUGACGCAUAGUAUUAUAGCUUCAGCUGAGAAGACGAGCUUCUCUGCAAUGAGAGCUGCGUUCUAUGAGAUAAUGAGGAAAAGAAGAGCAAAACCUAUUGGUGCCUUGCCAUUGGCAACGUUUGGAGCCAGUCUUUCAACUUGUGCGGGACUGCUUCUCUAUGGAGAUGGGAUAGAAUGUGCAGCUGUGUCUCUUCCUUCAGCUCCUUCCAUUGCGAAAUUGGGUCGAGGGAUUCAAAACUUGCGUGAGGCGUCUCUGGAAGUGAGGAGUAGAGAAAGCAACAGGAUACACAAUGCAAUCGAGGCUCUUAGGCAAAAGCUGAAGAAGUUCAGACUUCAAUGAAGAAGAGAGUUUUGACUUGCGUUAAAAUAUUUUCUUUUAGCUACUGCUAUGUAUAUAUUUACAUGUCCUCUCUUUUGUAGAUGCAUGUUUCUUGUUGGAGUACACUGGUUUGGUUUGAAUAUACUUAGAACAACUAUAAAUUAAUAUUCGAUAAAUUAAUAAUUUCUAUAAAUUAAUAAAUUUCGUUGGUUCCAUUGGACCGGUUCAUAAUUUGAUAUAAAUCGAUAAAAUAAUAAGAUAAUAUUUUUUUUAGAAAAUUUUAUGUAAAUACAUAGUUCCAUUAAAAUUAUAAAUUAAUAAUUUAUAUGUAUACAUAUUUAUAUAAAUAACAAGCUAUUAUUAUAUUGUUUGUUUUAUAUUUACAAUGAAAUUAUCUUUAUAUUUUUUCAACACUUCAUAUACUUCUGAUGAGAUUUAGUAAUAUUAUAUCUUAAAUCACAUUUAAAUUUUAUGUAAUAUAUAUUAAUAUAAAUGUCAAAUUAAAAAAAAAAUAACAAUCAAUGUGUAUACACUAAAAUCAAAUAUUAUAUUAGAAUAAAUAAAUCUUAAAAUAAGAAACUUAAAAUAAAGAAAUUUUUAUAAAUUAAUAUAUCUAUAAAUCUACAUUAUAAUCUACGUUAUAAUAGGACAGUUGCAUCACUCCUGAUGCGACACGUCAGCGAUAUGUGGGUCCCACUUUUAAAAAGUGUGAAAAAAGUGUCAAGUCUGUGGCUCGAACCCGGGUUAUUGAGAUCUAAACAACAACAUUUAUACCACUGAGCUAAACGAUUCUUUGUACAUUGAUGGCUAAAACAAAUAUAUAUUUACGAAGGUCGGAAGCCUUUGCUUCUUCGGUUUUCUCUGUGGGAUCCACACUUAUUUAUUUUAUCUAAUGAUUUAAUAAAUACUUUAUAACUCACGUUUUGAAAUGGGAUUCGUUAAAAAAAACCCAAUAAAUCUCUUUGGUCUGUAAGCGUUUUCUUCAAUGGAAGUUUAGGGCUUUCAAUUUUUAAUCAUCGGUUCAUGACUCAUCUAAGAAACACAGAUUGACUCUUUGAGUUUCAUGAAUCAGUAUUUCUUCUUUAGUCUCUACAUCUCUCCAUCUUUAAUAAAUUCAUCAUCGGUUCUUUUAUUUUGCCUGAUAAAUCAUGAUUGUGUGGUUUUAAUUUUCUUUGGUCAUCCUUAGCUUGCACCCUUUGAUCUAACCAAGAAGAAGAAGAAGACAUUUGUCGUUCAGGAUGCCAUCGAGGACUCAGCUGAGUCACACGGGAGACAUACUAUCUGUUGCCUGAUUGUUCAAGAAGAGUUUAUGUGCUGUGAAACAUAUUUGUUUCUUUUCAUCAGUUGCUUUGUUUAAUCUUUUUUCCUGCAAAUAAUGAUGGCUUUGACAGUUCAUUCACGGGAGCCAAGAAGUAAAAGAAGAAGAAGCCAGUGAGUGUUUGACAUUUUCUGUCUUCCUGAGUUUUUUUUUCAUUCAUUAAACUUGGAUUUUGAAGAUUAUGUGCCUCACAUUCUUUUUAUUUUGAUGGUUGUUAGGUUGAAUGAAGAUCAUUGAAUAAAUAAAAUGUUGAUGCUCCUGAAGAUUUGGAGGGUACUUUAUAUUUCUUUCCCUGAUAAUUCUAUCGACAUAAAUUUGAACCUUACAGAGGGUAUAUUGCAGAGCAUCCUAAUGAUGAGGAAGAGGUGGAGGGAAUUGAUCUUCACCAGCAACGUUACCCGUGGGAGGGAAGUGACAUGGAUUACUUAUACGACGAGGUAAGCAAAUCAUUAGAUGGUUUGCGGUCCAUCUUUGAGAGCCGUUGAUUGUAAGUGUCUAUCGUUUUGAAGUUGUACGACACUAAGAUGUAAAGAAUUACUAAUCACGAUUACCUUACUAGCAGAGUUCUUUUGCACAGCUAUUGUCAAUGGAAUUAACACUGGAAAUUGAUGGUGCUAUAUUUCAUGUUCCAAAUGCUAACGCAAGCUCCAAUGUUGAUUCUCAGCUUUAACAUGCCAAAAUCACAAUGCAGUGGGUGUUGUAAGGUAAUUCAGUAGGCACAAAUGUUCAGUUGAAAAAAAUUCUAAACUGUAUUUAUGCAUCAAACUUAUCAUCCGUAACAUAAUAAUAUGUUUUUUCUGUGCUAGGAACCGUUUGUAAAUAAAUGUCUCGGAUGUAUAUGACUGCUUAGUUUAUUACUUUUGACAGUGAAAUCACUAAGCUUGCAAUGUGUCAGGACAGCAAAAGCAUCUCAGCUGAUGGUUAGCUUUACAAUUUCGUUGGUUUCUUUUUCCUAUUAUGUUGGAUGGAUUAUUUUAGCUAACAAAUAUCGCAACAGAGCGCUGGCAAUAACUCUAAUAGAUUUAUAUAUACAUUUAGAAUUGGAAGUUUGGUGAGAACAGGAACAAGUACUUCUGUCACGCUAUUGGACAGUUAUACGCCAUUUCAAGAGAAUUGAUUUCUUAUAUUUCCCAUAAUCAGUAAGAUUUUAACUGUUUUGUCUACUUUGCAUUCAUACCUCAUUCUCCAUCUAACUUCUCGGUGCUACUAUAUAAUGAUCAAGUCAUUUUCUGCACAAAUAGGCAAGUGGGGAUGUUACGUUGGGUGCUUGGUUUAUUGGGCUUGGCUAUACAAAGUCUGUUGUGACUCUAAAACUUUUACCUCAUUUAACAUUGAUUCUGGUUCUUGGGAGAAUUGCAGAUUGUGAAUGAAAGGCACAAGCAGGGAACAUAUGUGUAGCUGCGUUCGACUCGACAUGUAGCGGUAUCUGCAGAUCCGCUGAUCCCAUUGUGGAGGUUAACAUGCAAUGUGUUGACCUGGAAAUCAUUAUUUGGAAGCUACAUUUCGAGGCAUUUCCUCAACAUAUAAAUAGACCGUAGACAGAGUUUGAUAUUUAUAAUACUCAGUGAUCAUGGAGUCUGCAGAAAACAGUCAUUUUGCAUGUUUUAUAUGGAACCAAGAGAUAUAUCCUUUGUAUGAUGAUUGUAUUAUGAUAGCUACUAACAUAGGAGAUGACUAGAGAAAGAGAAAUGAGUAUGAAACUCUUAUAUGGGUAGCUUUUGUAAACACAUUUGGGUUUAUUAACAGUUGUGACAAGCAAUUAUGUUUAUAGUAAAGGAAACCCCCUGCAGCGUCAAUAACAAAUGCACAUGUUUUUUGGUUGUUUGAGAUUGAAAUAGCUAAUGGGUUUUCUAAAUCAAUAUAAUUGAUUUGACUAAAGCUAUCUUGGAUGACAAAAAGAAGGAUUGCAAGUUUAAUAACUUCUACUUUAGACUUUAAUUUCAACUAAAUUAUAAUCAGUCUUUUAUCCAUAUCAUCUUAGUUAUAAUCGUAAGGAUUUAUUAGAAUAAAUAAACAGUUUCAACAAUAUUUAAUAUGUGAUUUAAUAAACAAAAGAACAUGUAGGAUUUUUAAGAUUUAAAGAGAUUGGAGACAAUAGUUAAUGAAUAUGAAAAGAAUACGAAUCAGAUGAUGAAAAAUGAUUCGAGCAAAUUAAUGGCAACACAGAGGUAAGCGAGAUAAAAAUAUCAAUCAAUAAAGAAUGAAAGAAGAAUGAACAGGGUUAAGUUAUUACACAAGCCAAAACUAAGACAAAUCAAACGACAAAACGUGAAAACAAAUGUAAACAAGACAAGAGGAGAUGAUGAAGAUAAAAUGCAUUGAAAAACUGAAUGCUAGAUUAGAAAGCAAGAGACAAAAAUAGAUUAAAAUGCAAAAACUCCACGCCUUGACGCGGGUAACGAUCCCUAGUUAAUAAAAUUUCAAAAUCCCGACAUUAUUAAUUUAUAGAGGUUUUUCUGUAUAUAUAAUCCAUUGAUGGUGACAAUAAAUAAAUGUUGAUUUCAUCAGGAGAUUUUGGACAUCUCUGUAUUUACAAUGUACUCAAAAUCUUGUGAUCCUUUUUGCGGUAUAGUUUUAGUUUGCUUCGUUUAAAAUAAAUAUUACUCAAAUUUAAGCAAACUUAUUUCAAUCUGUUAAUAUUGUUUAUUUGAUUCUAGAUCUUCUGUUACAGAUAUUAAAAAACAUAUGAUAAGAUGAUUUCAUCUUGGACACAUACUUAUAUUACACAACAACAUCUUCCAUGAGCAUCACAGUGUCCAGAAUAAGUUUUAUUUCUCUUACAAUAGUCAUUGCACAUUGCUUCUCCAUUGGGAUAUCGCCAAUUACAUGGUGACAUGACGGUGAAGCAAAUGUCCGUAUUUAACUCUCCAUAACCUAUUUAUAUGAAUACAAAUCAUUAAAUAAAUAUGUAUAUUAAUUAAUCAAAAUAUUCAAAAUUGAGGUACAAAUAUAAACCAUUAUCCGGAGUAACGGCGCUAGCUGGAGUAACAGCUAUAGCUGUAGUACGACAACGAACAGAAGAUCCGAAGAAAAGGAUAGUAAAAACAAAUGUGAUUAAAGUCUUCCUUGUGAUAGCCAUUUUUUAUCUCUAAAUUUUUGGAUUGUGUUUUAGAUAUUCUCUUUAACUUGUUAUGAUUUUUCUUCACACAUUCUAACUAUAUAUAAGAACACAAACAUACAUUUUAAGAAGUAUUUUCUUAGUCAAAUAAAAAAACUCUUUUCUUUUAUUUUCAUGAAUACAUUUAGUCGACGAAAAAUACAAAGAAUAUCUUAUAUAUUAAUUGAGAAUAUUUUUUAAGUUGUAACAUUAAUUACAAUGCUUAUUUGUCAACAUUAUAAUUCAUUUCAAUCUGAUGUUCUUAACUGUCAUAAUAUAUAAUAAAGUGGAACAUUCAUUAAUCAUCACUUAUAUAUUAAUUGACAAUCAUCUUUUAAAUUGUAACAUUGAUUACAAUGUGUAUGUGUCAACAUUACAAUUCUUUUCAAUAUGAUGCUCUUAAUAUAUAAUAAAGUGGACUACUCAUUAAUCAAAUGUUAAAAGAAAAUCUACUUCGAUCUUUUCUUAAAUAAAAGUUACAUAAUUAUCUAAUGUGAUUUCAACAAAUAUGAAAAUUAAUGAUAUUAAAUAAGAAUGGGUUGUUAACAAUUUGCAUAUCUUCCAUCAAUUUUAUUUAAUUAUAUUAUUAAUAAAUUAAACAAUUAUAUUAAUUAGAUAUAUUAUAUUUCAGAUUGCUAUAGUGUAAUUUAGAUGUUGUUGAAUCUUUGUUCAUUGAAUGUAAUGUAAGAACUGUGUAACAAAAGAUUAGAAGAAGAACAUUAAAACACACAAACCAAGACAAGUGGUACAUACCACUCGUACAUAAUGAGAACCGUUGCUUUGUCUCUAGUGAUUCUAAGUUGUGUAAUUUUAUAAGUUGACAAGGAAACAAAAGCAAUCAAUAGGAACAAUGCUUCUCUUGGAUCUAAGAGCGCCCGCAUCCUCUACUUCUCAUGAGGGUAUAGGAAUGUCUAAUGUGUUGUGCCAACCAACCUAUUUAAUAAAAAUAAAUAAAAAGAUUAAAAGAAAUAGUGAUAUUAAAGUGAAGUGUGGCUUUUUUUUUUUGAAACAGAAGUGUGGCUAUAUAUAGACAAGGUUACAACCAAAGAAUGAAAGAAUAUUUUUUUUGGGAAAAAUACAUGGCGAGUGAGGAGGAGGAAAGAGGAGCCGAGGAACCACUUAGUCCAGUUUCCCGGCUACUCAGUUCACCUGAACUCUGUGCUGUCAUUGUGGUAACAUUAGGGUUGAAAACUAGAUGCAACAUAUCCUCCGUUGCUGCAGGCAUCAAGGAGUCAUUUGAUUAAGCUCCCUCGCUUCCCUUGGAAACUGGUAAUCAUAUAUAUACCUACAUCCAUCUUGUUAUAGACAAUAGGUAAAAAUGGAAUUUUCAUUUACUAACGAUGUGAUUAUACGUAUAAACUAAAAAAAUGAAAAUAUCUUAUGCCAUGUUCUUUGAUCUUAGAUUAUUCCGUUUCAGGACAUGGAUAGUAAAAAUAAAAAGAAAGGAGAACCAGUUUGGGUUCCGGUCAGAAUUCAAGUAGAAAGUCAUGUUGUUCCAAAUCUAGAUCAUGUCAACAUUGAAAAUCCUGAGGAGUUCAUAGAAGAUUAUUAUUGUUCUAGCAUAGCCAAUACUCCAAUGGACAUGUCCAUACCACCAUGGGAGUUUCACGUGUUGAACCUCAAGACUUCAAAUGCAGAAUCUGUGGGUAUAGUAAAGUUGCAUCAUUCUUUGGGCGAUGGAAUGUCUCUUAUGUCACUUUUAUUCGCUUGUUUGCGAAAAACAUCAGACCCCAACGCACUUCCUACAAUUGCUCUACAACAAAAACACAUCAAAAAUCUACUGAUAAGGGUUGUUGGUUUAUUGAUAGCGGAUUUUGGUAUAUGAUAAGAUUCAUCUUCAUCGAUUUUGUUGAAGUGUUUAAAUUUGUGCUUACAUUAUGUUUCCUACGAGAAACCAAAAGUGAUCUUUCGAGUGAAUCCAUGGAUGGAAUUCAACCUAGAAAAAUUAACCAUCGGAUAAUAGACUUUGAUGAUGUCAAGUUGGUGAAGAACAUAAUGCAAAUGGUACAGUAUAUACUUCUUAAUACUAAUCAUAUAUUGUAAGUUUCAUCACUCUUCUUGACACAUACCCACAAGGAAAUGUCAUAUGCAUUUACCAAAGUGGCGUAUCCCUCAAAAGUGAUGGCCCCUGGCUUUGCUAGCUCUGGAGCCAAAUCAACUUCUUUGGCGAAAGCUUCUUUAUCAGCUGAGAGAAUCAGAGCAGUAACAUAUAUAUAGUAUUAUAGCUUCAGCUGAGAAGACUAGCUUCUAUGCCAUGAGAGCUGCGUUCUAUGAAAUAAUGAGGAAAAGAAGAGCAAAACAUAUCGGUUCCUUGCCAUUGGCAACGUUUGGAGCCAGUCUUUCAACACGUUCCUUGCCAUUGGCAACGUUUGGAGCCACUCUAUCGAUAGAAUGUGCAGCUGUGUCUCUUCCUUCAGCUCCUUCCAUUGCGAAAUUGGCUCGAGGGAUUCAAAACUUGCAUGAGGCGUCUCUGGAAGUGAGGAGUAGAGAAAGCAACAGGAUACAGAAUGCAAUCGAGGCCCUUAGGCAAAAGCUGAAGAAGUUCAGACUUCAAUGAAGAAGAGAGUUUUGACUUUCAUUAAAAUAUUUUCUUUUAGCUAUUGUUAUGUAUAUAUAUUUACAUGUCCUCUCUUUUGUAGAUGCAUGUUUCUUGUUGGACUACACUGGUUUGGUUUGAACAUAUAUAUAUAAUCUCUUGAUGGUGACAAAAAAUAAAUGUUGGUUUCAUUAGGAGAAAUAGUUUUAGUUUGCUUCGUUUAAAAUAAAUAUUACUGAAAUUUAAGCAAACUAAUAUCAAUCUGGUAAAUAUUUUUUUAUUUUAUUCUAGAUCUUCUGACAUCUGUUAUAGAUUUAUAAUAACAUAUGAUAAGAUGAUUUCAUCUUAGACACAUACUUAAAAAACACAACAACAUCUUCCAUGAGUAUCACAAUAUCCUGACCUUUUGUGAUCUCUCCUACAACCGCCGUCGCACAUUGCUUCCCCAUUGGGAUAUCGCCAAUUACACGGUGACAAGACGGUAAAGCAAAUGUCCGUAUUUAAUUCUCCAUAACCUAUUUAUAUGAAUACAAAUCAUUAAAUCAAUAUGUAUAUUAAUUAAUCAAAAUAUUCAAAAUUGAGGUACAAAUAUAAACCAUUACCAGGGGUAACAGCGCUCGUUAUAGUACGACAAUGAACAGAAAAUCCUAGGAAAAGAAUAGUAAAAACAAAUGUGAUUAAAGUCUUCAUUGUGAUAGUCAUUUUUAAUCUCUAAAUUUUUGGAUUGUGUUUAAGAUAUUCUCUUACGAUUUUUCUUCACACAUUCUGAUUAUAUAUAAGAACACAGACAUACAGUUUAAGAAGUAUUUUCUUAGUCAAAUAUGAAAAGAAAAACUCUCUUUUUUCCAUAAAUAUAUAUAGUCAAACAGAAAAUACAGAAAAUCUCUUAUAUAUUAUUUGAAAAUCAUCUUUUAAGUUGUAACAUUAAUUCCAAUGCUUAUAUGUCAACAUUACAAUUAUUUUCACAGUUCAUAUUAAAAAUACUUAAGUUAUUAGAAUAUUACAAAACUGUUAUUGAAUAUAAUAAAGUGAACCAUUUAUUAAUUAAAUAUUAAAAAAAUAUACUUCCUUAUUAUUUUAAAUAAAGCUAUGGUGAUGACAAUUAAUACUGUUAAAUAAUAAAGAUUUGGUAACAAUUUGUAUAUUCUCUGUCAUUUUGUUUAAUUUAUAUUAUUAAAAAACAAUGAUUAUUUAAUUAAAAAUUGGAGUUUUCUUUUUUUUGAAUUUUUAAAACGAUUAUAAAUUACUGAAAAUAUUAAAAAUUUCACAUUAAUUUUUUAUCAAUAUAUUAAAAUUUUUAAAAACAUAAAUAAUCAUAACAUAUAUAAAUAGAAAAUCUAACUUAAUAGAUAUUAGAUAUUUCUUAUCUUUAGUCCGUAAAUAUACAAAAAAAUCUAGAUUUUUAUUAAUAUUUAAAAUAUCUCAUUCCGUCCGAGCGCAGGUUAUUGCUUAUUAGAUUUGAACUUUGAACAGUUGUGUGAUACUGAUGUAGCAGAAGCUACAAUAACACAAUGAUUUUAUUUAGUCUAAGAAUACCUAAGAUCAAUGUCAAGAAAAUUUUCUUAACUUUUAUUAAUCAAAUCAUAAAUAAACUGAAUACAACUCUAAGCCUAUUUAUAUGAAAACCAAAUAACCUAUAAACUAUUAAAAAUCAUUAAAAUAAUUCUAACUAAUUAAUAUCAAUACUAAAACAAAUAAUAAACUAGAUAAUUAUGAUAUUUGGAGUAUAUCCAAAUUAACAUCUAUCUGCAUCAGAUACCAAUUUGGUAAACAUACAGUCCAAAGAAUUGACUAAAGGACUGCCAAAAAUAUUAUAAUAGAUAAUUAAAAUUUUAUUGUGAAGAUUUAAACGGUUAUACCAAACAACAACAAAAAUUAUUACAAGAGACAGUAGAGCAUUUCCACUAUGUUCUCAUUAAAAUAACUAGAGCCUUUUCCCGGGUUACGUCCGGGUUUAUUUUCCUAAAAUUUUAAUUUAUUUUAAAAUAUUAUUUAUAUUUAAAUAUGUAAUUUAUAUUGGAAAUUUUGACAAAUAUAAAUUAUUAAAAUGAAGUUUCACAUCUUAGAAUGUAAAACUUAAAUAAUGAUAAAACACAUAUUAUAUUAUUUAAAUUAGUAUUACAGUAAAAGUAAAAUUAGUUAAAAUUUCAAUAAUUUAAAAGUUUGAUUUCUUAAUUAUUUUGUUCAUUCUAUCUGAUUCGUAUUGUAUAAUUAGUGACGAAAAGUUUAAGUUCUUCCCAAUAAAAUCAAUCUCUCUAGAAAUACACAUGAAAAAUAAUAUUGUUGGAUCUAAUAAUUUUAUCAGCUUGAUAAAAGGUAAACAGUUGAUUUAUUAAAUAUUUUCAGAAAUUUCAUAAAUGUUGUUAGGGGUAAUUGGUAAGUGCUCUGGGUAUUUUCUACUGUUCUUUUUAUUUUUACAACAUUUUAAUUUAUCAAUUAUUUUUUUUAAGAAAAUAAUUUAAAAACUAUAGCCCAAAGCUAAAUUAGUAAUUAUAUUGGUUUUGGAAAUCAUUUUAAAAAGAUAUAUACAUUCAGUAUUGGAAAGUAAUUAAUAUAAAUUUAUGUCAAUCUAAUCUAAAGUCACAGAAAACCAUGGAUAAUGUAUAUUCGAAAAGCUGGCAAAAGUAGAUUCUGGAAAACCAUGGAUAAUGUAUAUUUCUGAGAAAAUAUCAGAGUGAAUUUGAUCAAGCAGAUUCGAAACAGAUGCUAAGAAAGUAGAUUUAUAAGGGAAAAAAUAGUGAGGAAGAUGAAAAGAGUCCAUUGAAUGGGUUCAAUUAAGAAUUGAUGAGUGUAGAUAGUGGUGAAGUUAUUGUUUGAAACGCAUCUGGAGAGAGUAGCAAUGGAAGAUAUCGAAGCUAGAAAAUGGAAGGGGAAACCGAAAAAAGAAAACACGAACGAAAUUAAGGUUGAGUUCUGCAAUUUCUUUUUCACUUGGACAAUCUGUAGGGCCUAAAAAAAACGAAGAAGCCCAAAAUCAUUAACAACAAAGCCCUAAACGAAACAAAAGAAUCCAACGUGGACGAUGGAAGCAAUUUAACUGGCCGAAUUUUUGAAUUGUUAGAUUUGUCUUUUUAAUUUGUAUGUCAAUUUCUAUUUUUUACAAUUUUUGUACUUUUUCAUUAUAAAUUUAGAGUAGUCAUUUUUUGUUUUAUUUCAAAUUAAUAUUUUACUGUUGUUUUGUUUUAUUUAUUGUAUAUAUGAAAAAAUUUCCUUAAGCCGUAUCAAAUUUAUUUAUUUGGUUAUAUAAUAGGUUAUUAUUAUUUGAAACCAAUAGUGCGGAAGACAACAAUUAAUAUGAUAAAUAUGAGGAAUUGACAUUGCGUAUUAAUUUUUUCAUAUUAUAGUUGUGUAUCUUUGAUUCAUUUACUUGAAAAUGACUAAAAUAUCACUUUAAGUCAAUGCAUGGCAAAAACAAUUCUGAUCAAGUUACACAGUUAAUAAUUUUGUUCUAGGUUUACAUUAACAUUUUCCAAUUGACUAUUAUAUACUUAUCUUAGGAAAUAGAACUGAGAUCAUUUUUAAAAUGUGUGAUAAUAUAAUAUUGAAUUUCAAUAAAACAAAUUUAGCAAUUUCUAAUAUAUCAGGAUUUAAAAGUCUGUUUCUAACAUAUAAUAGUGUACUAUAUUAAUUCUAAAACAAAUAUUGUUUGCAUAUUAUUUUAAAACAAUUUAGACAUUUUUUUGUAGUUUUCUCUUAAUAUAAUUUUUUAGACAUUUGAUGCAUUAACCAAUUGGCCAGCAAUGAGUGUUAUUCUUCCAUGAUCACACACCUAAAAGGACUAACAAUGUUUAAGGUGAAUGUAAUGUUUUUAUAAUACUAAUUAUGUUUCAUUUUAAUUGUCAUUUUCGAUUUGUGCAUACAGAUGUAAAAAAAAAAAUUAAUUUUGUAUAUUACUAAAAUAAAAUAUCAUUAGUUAUACACUUAAUCACAUUUCAAUCAGUAAAAAAUAGACUGAAGAAUACAAAAAUCAUAUAACAUAUAAAGUUAAUCAAUUAUGUAUUUAAAUUCUAAAACAACAUUUAUCUUGAAACAAACAAUUUACUCUACAACAACAAUUAAAUUAAAAUGAAAAUAGUAGUAAUUUUUGAAUUUCAUAAGAGAUUAUAUCAAAAAAAAUUUUAAUAUGUACUUUUAUACUCAAUUAAAAUAUAAUUGCUUAAAACUUCAUUUACCAUAAAUGUUAAAUUUUCUUACAUUCACAAUAAUUAAAUUUUUCGUACAUUCACAAUAGUUACAUAUAUAUUAAAAUGAGAGUCAAGUGUGUAUAAUUGAUUUUACACCAACUACUAAUCUAAAACUCUAAUAUACUACUCCCUCUGUUGCAAAUCAUAUAUGUUUUACAAUUUUUACACAUAUUAAAUCUUAUUUUUGUGAAUAUAUAUUUAUUUAAGUCUUAGUUAUAAAUAUAUAUUUUGUGAUUUAUAUUUCUUAUAAUUCUAAACCGGUAAGAAGUCAAGAAAUGCAAUUAGUAUUUGAAAUUUAGAAUUUAUCAUUAUUAGUUAAUAAAAUGUAUUGAAAAUACAAAAAUGUAUCUUUGAAAAAAAAAAUUUCCGCUAAAACAUACAGUUUUAUGUGUAUAAUUGAAAGUCUCAUAAUCUUAACGAAAACUUGAACUUUUAUGAUUUUGAAUAUUAAAAAAACACGUGGACCCAAUAACGUUUUCAAAUUUACAAAUUCCCUUCUGUAAUACAAAAAAUAUUCUCCUUCGAGUGGAGAUUAUUUAAAAGUAAUAGUAGUAGAAAACAUUUGUUUUGAACAAUCUUUUUUGUCCAGGGGAUUGAUUAUGUGUAUUGUUCAAACCUUUUGGUCUUUUUCUCGGAUCUCAAUCUUUUUAUUAUUAUUCUUUCUCUUUGAUUCCUUUCCUCGAUCCAACCUGCUACUACAGUUUCUUAUUAUGCAAAAUCAAACUACUUCUGAAGAUUUGUUUAGCAUAUUAAGACAUUCACAACUCCUUUAGUAUCGGGAAAACGUUUUAAUAAACGCAGUGGACAAUCAACCCAUUUGAUUUGAUUUUAAAGAAAAAGAUAAAUGGUAGCAACAUUCACCGUCGCAGCGUCAAUAACAAAUGCGCCUGUUUUUUGGUUGUUUGGGAUUGAAAUAGCUUAUGGGUUUUCUAAAUCAAUAUAAUUGAUUUGACUAAAGCUAUCUUGGAUGACAAAAAGAAGGAUUGCAAGUUUAAUAACUUCUACUUUAGACUUUAAUUUCAACUAAAUUAUAAUCAGUCUUUUAUCCAUAUCAUCUUAGUUAUAAUCGUAAGGAUUUAUUAGAAUAAAUAAACAGUUUCAACAAUAUUUAAUAUGUGAUUUAAUAAACAAAAGAACAUGUAGGAUUUUUAAGAUUUAAAGAGAUUGGAGACAAUAGUUAAUGAAUAUGAAAAGAAUACGAAUCAGAUGAUGAAAAAUGAUUCGAGCAAAUUAAUGGCAACACAGAGGUAAGCGAGAUAAAAAUAUCAAUCAAUAAAGAAUGAAAGAAGAAUGAACAGGGUUAAGUUAUUACACAAGCCAAAACUAAGACAAAUCAAACGACAAAACGUGAAAACAAAUGUAAACAAGACAAGAGGAGAUGAUGAAGAUAAAAUGCAUUGAAAAACUGAAUGCUAGAUUAGAAAGCAAGAGACAAAAAUAGAUUAAAAUGCAAAAACUCCACGCCUUGACGCGGGUAACGAUCCCUAGUUAAUAAAAUUUCAAAAUCCCGACAUUAUUAAUUUAUAGAGGUUUUUCUGUAUAUAUAAUCCAUUGAUGGUGACAAUAAAUAAAUGUUGAUUUCAUCAGGAGAUUUUGGACAUCUCUGUAUUUACAAUGUACUCAAAAUCUUGUGAUCCUUUUUGCGGUAUAGUUUUAGUUUGCUUCGUUUAAAAUAAAUAUUACUCAAAUUUAAGCAAACUUAUUUCAAUCUGUUAAUAUUGUUUAUUUGAUUCUAGAUCUUCUGUUACAGAUAUUAAAAAACAUAUGAUAAGAUGAUUUCAUCUUGGACACAUACUUAUAUUACACAACAACAUCUUCCAUGAGCAUCACAGUGUCCAGAAUAAGUUUUAUUUCUCUUACAAUAGUCAUUGCACAUUGCUUCUCCAUUGGGAUAUCGCCAAUUACAUGGUGACAUGACGGUGAAGCAAAUGUCCGUAUUUAACUCUCCAUAACCUAUUUAUAUGAAUACAAAUCAUUAAAUAAAUAUGUAUAUUAAUUAAUCAAAAUAUUCAAAAUUGAGGUACAAAUAUAAACCAUUAUCCGGAGUAACGGCGCUAGCUGGAGUAACAGCUAUAGCUGUAGUACGACAACGAACAGAAGAUCCGAAGAAAAGGAUAGUAAAAACAAAUGUGAUUAAAGUCUUCCUUGUGAUAGCCAUUUUUUAUCUCUAAAUUUUUGGAUUGUGUUUUAGAUAUUCUCUUUAACUUGUUAUGAUUUUUCUUCACACAUUCUAACUAUAUAUAAGAACACAAACAUACAUUUUAAGAAGUAUUUUCUUAGUCAAAUAAAAAAACUCUUUUCUUUUAUUUUCAUGAAUACAUUUAGUCGACGAAAAAUACAAAGAAUAUCUUAUAUAUUAAUUGAGAAUAUUUUUUAAGUUGUAACAUUAAUUACAAUGCUUAUUUGUCAACAUUAUAAUUCAUUUCAAUCUGAUGUUCUUAACUGUCAUAAUAUAUAAUAAAGUGGAACAUUCAUUAAUCAUCACUUAUAUAUUAAUUGACAAUCAUCUUUUAAAUUGUAACAUUGAUUACAAUGUGUAUGUGUCAACAUUACAAUUCUUUUCAAUAUGAUGCUCUUAAUAUAUAAUAAAGUGGACUACUCAUUAAUCAAAUGUUAAAAGAAAAUCUACUUCGAUCUUUUCUUAAAUAAAAGUUACAUAAUUAUCUAAUGUGAUUUCAACAAAUAUGAAAAUUAAUGAUAUUAAAUAAGAAUGGGUUGUUAACAAUUUGCAUAUCUUCCAUCAAUUUUAUUUAAUUAUAUUAUUAAUAAAUUAAACAAUUAUAUUAAUUAGAUAUAUUAUAUUUCAGAUUGCUAUAGUGUAAUUUAGAUGUUGUUGAAUCUUUGUUCAUUGAAUGUAAUGUAAGAACUGUGUAACAAAAGAUUAGAAGAAGAACAUUAAAACACACAAACCAAGACAAGUGGUACAUACCACUCGUACAUAAUGAGAACCGUUGCUUUGUCUCUAGUGAUUCUAAGUUGUGUAAUUUUAUAAGUUGACAAGGAAACAAAAGCAAUCAAUAGGAACAAUGCUUCUCUUGGAUCUAAGAGCGCCCGCAUCCUCUACUUCUCAUGAGGGUAUAGGAAUGUCUAAUGUGUUGUGCCAACCAACCUAUUUAAUAAAAAUAAAUAAAAAGAUUAAAAGAAAUAGUGAUAUUAAAGUGAAGUGUGGCUUUUUUUUUUUGAAACAGAAGUGUGGCUAUAUAUAGACAAGGUUACAACCAAAGAAUGAAAGAAUAUUUUUUUUGGGAAAAAUACAUGGCGAGUGAGGAGGAGGAAAGAGGAGCCGAGGAACCACUUAGUCCAGUUUCCCGGCUACUCAGUUCACCUGAACUCUGUGCUGUCAUUGUGGUAACAUUAGGGUUGAAAACUAGAUGCAACAUAUCCUCCGUUGCUGCAGGCAUCAAGGAGUCAUUUGAUUAAGCUCCCUCGCUUCCCUUGGAAACUGGUAAUCAUAUAUAUACCUACAUCCAUCUUGUUAUAGACAAUAGGUAAAAAUGGAAUUUUCAUUUACUAACGAUGUGAUUAUACGUAUAAACUAAAAAAAUGAAAAUAUCUUAUGCCAUGUUCUUUGAUCUUAGAUUAUUCCGUUUCAGGACAUGGAUAGUAAAAAUAAAAAGAAAGGAGAACCAGUUUGGGUUCCGGUCAGAAUUCAAGUAGAAAGUCAUGUUGUUCCAAAUCUAGAUCAUGUCAACAUUGAAAAUCCUGAGGAGUUCAUAGAAGAUUAUUAUUGUUCUAGCAUAGCCAAUACUCCAAUGGACAUGUCCAUACCACCAUGGGAGUUUCACGUGUUGAACCUCAAGACUUCAAAUGCAGAAUCUGUGGGUAUAGUAAAGUUGCAUCAUUCUUUGGGCGAUGGAAUGUCUCUUAUGUCACUUUUAUUCGCUUGUUUGCGAAAAACAUCAGACCCCAACGCACUUCCUACAAUUGCUCUACAACAAAAACACAUCAAAAAUCUACUGAUAAGGGUUGUUGGUUUAUUGAUAGCGGAUUUUGGUAUAUGAUAAGAUUCAUCUUCAUCGAUUUUGUUGAAGUGUUUAAAUUUGUGCUUACAUUAUGUUUCCUACGAGAAACCAAAAGUGAUCUUUCGAGUGAAUCCAUGGAUGGAAUUCAACCUAGAAAAAUUAACCAUCGGAUAAUAGACUUUGAUGAUGUCAAGUUGGUGAAGAACAUAAUGCAAAUGGUACAGUAUAUACUUCUUAAUACUAAUCAUAUAUUGUAAGUUUCAUCACUCUUCUUGACACAUACCCACAAGGAAAUGUCAUAUGCAUUUACCAAAGUGGCGUAUCCCUCAAAAGUGAUGGCCCCUGGCUUUGCUAGCUCUGGAGCCAAAUCAACUUCUUUGGCGAAAGCUUCUUUAUCAGCUGAGAGAAUCAGAGCAGUAACAUAUAUAUAGUAUUAUAGCUUCAGCUGAGAAGACUAGCUUCUAUGCCAUGAGAGCUGCGUUCUAUGAAAUAAUGAGGAAAAGAAGAGCAAAACAUAUCGGUUCCUUGCCAUUGGCAACGUUUGGAGCCAGUCUUUCAACACGUUCCUUGCCAUUGGCAACGUUUGGAGCCACUCUAUCGAUAGAAUGUGCAGCUGUGUCUCUUCCUUCAGCUCCUUCCAUUGCGAAAUUGGCUCGAGGGAUUCAAAACUUGCAUGAGGCGUCUCUGGAAGUGAGGAGUAGAGAAAGCAACAGGAUACAGAAUGCAAUCGAGGCCCUUAGGCAAAAGCUGAAGAAGUUCAGACUUCAAUGAAGAAGAGAGUUUUGACUUUCAUUAAAAUAUUUUCUUUUAGCUAUUGUUAUGUAUAUAUAUUUACAUGUCCUCUCUUUUGUAGAUGCAUGUUUCUUGUUGGACUACACUGGUUUGGUUUGAACAUAUAUAUAUAAUCUCUUGAUGGUGACAAAAAAUAAAUGUUGGUUUCAUUAGGAGAAAUAGUUUUAGUUUGCUUCGUUUAAAAUAAAUAUUACUGAAAUUUAAGCAAACUAAUAUCAAUCUGGUAAAUAUUUUUUUAUUUUAUUCUAGAUCUUCUGACAUCUGUUAUAGAUUUAUAAUAACAUAUGAUAAGAUGAUUUCAUCUUAGACACAUACUUAAAAAACACAACAACAUCUUCCAUGAGUAUCACAAUAUCCUGACCUUUUGUGAUCUCUCCUACAACCGCCGUCGCACAUUGCUUCCCCAUUGGGAUAUCGCCAAUUACACGGUGACAAGACGGUAAAGCAAAUGUCCGUAUUUAAUUCUCCAUAACCUAUUUAUAUGAAUACAAAUCAUUAAAUCAAUAUGUAUAUUAAUUAAUCAAAAUAUUCAAAAUUGAGGUACAAAUAUAAACCAUUACCAGGGGUAACAGCGCUCGUUAUAGUACGACAAUGAACAGAAAAUCCUAGGAAAAGAAUAGUAAAAACAAAUGUGAUUAAAGUCUUCAUUGUGAUAGUCAUUUUUAAUCUCUAAAUUUUUGGAUUGUGUUUAAGAUAUUCUCUUACGAUUUUUCUUCACACAUUCUGAUUAUAUAUAAGAACACAGACAUACAGUUUAAGAAGUAUUUUCUUAGUCAAAUAUGAAAAGAAAAACUCUCUUUUUUCCAUAAAUAUAUAUAGUCAAACAGAAAAUACAGAAAAUCUCUUAUAUAUUAUUUGAAAAUCAUCUUUUAAGUUGUAACAUUAAUUCCAAUGCUUAUAUGUCAACAUUACAAUUAUUUUCACAGUUCAUAUUAAAAAUACUUAAGUUAUUAGAAUAUUACAAAACUGUUAUUGAAUAUAAUAAAGUGAACCAUUUAUUAAUUAAAUAUUAAAAAAAUAUACUUCCUUAUUAUUUUAAAUAAAGCUAUGGUGAUGACAAUUAAUACUGUUAAAUAAUAAAGAUUUGGUAACAAUUUGUAUAUUCUCUGUCAUUUUGUUUAAUUUAUAUUAUUAAAAAACAAUGAUUAUUUAAUUAAAAAUUGGAGUUUUCUUUUUUUUGAAUUUUUAAAACGAUUAUAAAUUACUGAAAAUAUUAAAAAUUUCACAUUAAUUUUUUAUCAAUAUAUUAAAAUUUUUAAAAACAUAAAUAAUCAUAACAUAUAUAAAUAGAAAAUCUAACUUAAUAGAUAUUAGAUAUUUCUUAUCUUUAGUCCGUAAAUAUACAAAAAAAUCUAGAUUUUUAUUAAUAUUUAAAAUAUCUCAUUCCGUCCGAGCGCAGGUUAUUGCUUAUUAGAUUUGAACUUUGAACAGUUGUGUGAUACUGAUGUAGCAGAAGCUACAAUAACACAAUGAUUUUAUUUAGUCUAAGAAUACCUAAGAUCAAUGUCAAGAAAAUUUUCUUAACUUUUAUUAAUCAAAUCAUAAAUAAACUGAAUACAACUCUAAGCCUAUUUAUAUGAAAACCAAAUAACCUAUAAACUAUUAAAAAUCAUUAAAAUAAUUCUAACUAAUUAAUAUCAAUACUAAAACAAAUAAUAAACUAGAUAAUUAUGAUAUUUGGAGUAUAUCCAAAUUAACAUCUAUCUGCAUCAGAUACCAAUUUGGUAAACAUACAGUCCAAAGAAUUGACUAAAGGACUGCCAAAAAUAUUAUAAUAGAUAAUUAAAAUUUUAUUGUGAAGAUUUAAACGGUUAUACCAAACAACAACAAAAAUUAUUACAAGAGACAGUAGAGCAUUUCCACUAUGUUCUCAUUAAAAUAACUAGAGCCUUUUCCCGGGUUACGUCCGGGUUUAUUUUCCUAAAAUUUUAAUUUAUUUUAAAAUAUUAUUUAUAUUUAAAUAUGUAAUUUAUAUUGGAAAUUUUGACAAAUAUAAAUUAUUAAAAUGAAGUUUCACAUCUUAGACUGUAAAACUUAAAUAAUGAUAAAACACAUAUUAUAUUAAGUUAGUAUUACAGUAAAAGUAAAAUUAGUUAAAACUUCAAUAAUUUAAAAUUUUGAUUUUACUAAUAUCAAUCUGGUAAAUAUUUUUUUAUUUUAUUCUAGAUCUUCUGACAUCUGUUAUAGAUUUAUAAUAACAUAUGAUAAGAUGAUUUCAUCUUAGACACAUACUUAAAAAACACAACAACAUCUUCCAUGAGUAUCACAAUAUCCUGACCUUUUGUGAUCUCUCCUACAACCGCCGUCGCACAUUGCUUCCCCAUUGGGAUAUCGCCAAUUACACGGUGACAAGACGGUAAAGCAAAUGUCCGUAUUUAAUUCUCCAUAACCUAUUUAUAUGAAUACAAAUCAUUAAAUCAAUAUGUAUAUUAAUUAAUCAAAAUAUUCAAAAUUGAGGUACAAAUAUAAACCAUUACCAGGGGUAACAGCGCUCGUUAUAGUACGACAAUGAACAGAAAAUCCUAGGAAAAGAAUAGUAAAAACAAAUGUGAUUAAAGUCUUCAUUGUGAUAGUCAUUUUUAAUCUCUAAAUUUUUGGAUUGUGUUUAAGAUAUUCUCUUACGAUUUUUCUUCACACAUUCUGAUUAUAUAUAAGAACACAGACAUACAGUUUAAGAAGUAUUUUCUUAGUCAAAUAUGAAAAGAAAAACUCUCUUUUUUCCAUAAAUAUAUAUAGUCAAACAGAAAAUACAGAAAAUCUCUUAUAUAUUAUUUGAAAAUCAUCUUUUAAGUUGUAACAUUAAUUCCAAUGCUUAUAUGUCAACAUUACAAUUAUUUUCACAGUUCAUAUUAAAAAUACUUAAGUUAUUAGAAUAUUACAAAACUGUUAUUGAAUAUAAUAAAGUGAACCAUUUAUUAAUUAAAUAUUAAAAAAAUAUACUUCCUUAUUAUUUUAAAUAAAGCUAUGGUGAUGACAAUUAAUACUGUUAAAUAAUAAAGAUUUGGUAACAAUUUGUAUAUUCUCUGUCAUUUUGUUUAAUUUAUAUUAUUAAAAAACAAUGAUUAUUUAAUUAAAAAUUGGAGUUUUCUUUUUUUUGAAUUUUUAAAACGAUUAUAAAUUACUGAAAAUAUUAAAAAUUUCACAUUAAUUUUUUAUCAAUAUAUUAAAAUUUUUAAAAACAUAAAUAAUCAUAACAUAUAUAAAUAGAAAAUCUAACUUAAUAGAUAUUAGAUAUUUCUUAUCUUUAGUCCGUAAAUAUACAAAAAAAUCUAGAUUUUUAUUAAUAUUUAAAAUAUCUCAUUCCGUCCGAGCGCAGGUUAUUGCUUAUUAGAUUUGAACUUUGAACAGUUGUGUGAUACUGAUGUAGCAGAAGCUACAAUAACACAAUGAUUUUAUUUAGUCUAAGAAUACCUAAGAUCAAUGUCAAGAAAAUUUUCUUAACUUUUAUUAAUCAAAUCAUAAAUAAACUGAAUACAACUCUAAGCCUAUUUAUGUGAAAACCAAAUAACCUAUAAACUAUUAAAAAUCAUUAAAAUAAUUCUAACUAAUUAAUAUCAAUACUAAAACAAAUAAUAAACUAGAUAAUUAUGAUAUUUGGAGUAUAUCCAAAUUAACAUCUAUCUGCAUCAGAUACCAAUUUGGUAAACAUACAGUCCAAAGAAUUGACUAAAGGACUGCCAAAAAUAUUAUAAUAGAUAAUUAAAAUUUUAUUGUGAAGAUUUAAACGGUUAUACCAAACAACAACAAAAAUUAUUACAAGAGACAGUAGAGCAUUUCCACUAUGUUCUCAUUAAAAUAACUAGAGCCUUUUCCCGGGUUACGUCCGGGUUUAUUUUCCUAAAAUUUUAAUUUAUUUUAAAAUAUUAUUUAUAUUUAAAUAUGUAAUUUAUAUUGGAAAUUUUGACAAAUAUAAAUUAUUAAAAUGAAGUUUCACAUCUUAGAAUGUAAAACUUAAAUAAUGAUAAAACACAUAUUAUAUUAUUUAAAUUAGUAUUACAGUAAAAGUAAAAUUAGUUAAAAUUUCAAUAAUUUAAAAGUUUGAUUUCUUAAUUAUUUUGUUCAUUCUAUCUGAUUCGUAUUGUAUAAUUAGUGACUAAAAGUUUAAGUUCUUCCCAAUAAAAUCAAUCUCUCUAGAAAUACACAUGAAAAAUAAAAUUGUUGGAUCUAAUAAUUUUAUCAGCUUGAUAAAAGGUAAACAGUUGAUUUAUUUAAUAUUUUCAGAAAUUUCAUAAAUGUUGUUAGGGGUAAUUGGUAAGUGCUCCCGGUAUUUUCUACUGUUCUUUUUAUUUUUACAAUCAUUUUAAUUUAUCAAUUAUUUUUUUUUAAGAAAAUAAUUUAAAACUAUAGCCCAAGCUAAAUUAGUAAAUAUAUUGAUUUUGGAAAUCAUUUUUAAAAGAUAUAUACAUUCUAUUGGAAAGUAAUUAAUAUAAAUUUACGUCAAUCUAAUCUAAAGUCACAGAAAACCAUGGAUAAUGUAUAUUCGAAAAGCUGGCAAAAGUAGAUUCUGGAAAACCAUGGAUAAUGUAUAUUUCUGAGAAAAUAUCAGAGUGAAUUUGAUCAAGCAGAUUCGAAACAGAUGAUAAGAAAGUAGAUUUAUAGGGGAAAAAAUAGUGAGGAAGAUGAAAAGAGUCCACUGAUUGGGUUCAAUUAAGGAUUGAUGAGUGUAGAUAGUGGUGAAGUUAUUGUUUGAAACGCAUCCGGAGAGAAUAGCAAUGGAAAAUAUCGAAGCCAGAAAAUGGAAGGGGAAAUCGAAAAAAAGGAAAACACGAAGGAAAUUAAGGUUGAGUUCUGCAAUUUCUUUUUCACUUGGACAAUAUGUCGGGCCUAAAGAAAACGAAGAAGCCCAAAAUCAUUAACAACAAAGCCCUAAACGAAACAAAAGAAUCCAACGUGGACGAUGGAAGCAAUUUAACUGACCGAAUUUUUAAUCCGUCGUGGCACACCUAAGAAGCCUUGAUAUUUGGCUUUUAGUAUUGUUACUAGGGAUUAACCCGGGCUACGCCCGAGAUUUUUAUUUUUUUUCUAAUUUAAGUUGUUAAAUUAUUUAUAUUUAGGUUAUGAUAUAUAUUUAUAUAAAUGUUAAGAUGCAUGUCAUAAUUAAAAUUUAUUUUUAAAUUUUAACACGUUAAAUUAACAUAUUUUUUACUGUUUAUAUAUUUUUUGUAAUUUUGUUGGCUAUCUAGUUAUCAUAUUUAGCAAAACUAUCGGUUGAGUGUUGGAAUAAAUGUUUUAGAUAUUUAAUUAGUAAUUUUCCAUUUUUAAAUUGCGUAUUUAUUUAUAUUGUAUAUUUACUUAUUAUUUAUUUUUCUUUAUAUUGUGUAUUUCUAUUUCUUAUACUUUCUAUUUACUAAUAAUUUUAUAAUUUAAGAUAGAUUUACAUUUUAAGAUAGUUGUUUAAAUACUAAUGUACUUUUUCCAUUUUUUUAAAUUGUGUAUUUCCUUUUCUUAUACUUUCUAUUUACUUAAUAUCUAUAUUUUCCAUUUUAAGAUAGAUGUUUAAUAUUUAAUGUACUCUUUCCAUAUUUUAAAAAUUGUGCAUUUACUUAUUAUUGUAUAUAUAAUUCAUAUAUUUAUAUAUUUAUAAUAUUUACUUAUUAUUUAUUUUUCUAUAUAUUGAGUAUUUCUCUUUCUUAUACUUUAUAUUUAGUUAAUAUCUAUAUUUUAUAUUUUAAGAUAAAUGUUUAAAUCUUAAUGUUUUUUUUCCAUUUUCAAUGUAAAGCGGCAAUGUUUAAUAGAAGAAUUUGGAUGUUUACAUAUUUUUGUUAUUUUUAAAUGUAAAAUGAUAAUCUUACAUAUGUUUAAUGUAGUAUUUUCAUUUUUAUGUUGUAUGUUUACAUAUAUUUAUUAUUUUCGAAAUUAUAUAUAAUGUGUUUUUUUUUUAUAUAAAACGGUAAUGUUACAUUAUGGAGAUAAGCCAUCUUUUUUUUAAAGUGAAAAAUGGUAAUUUUACAUAUGUUUAAUGUAGGUUUUCUAUUUUUUAUGCUGUAUGUUUACAUAUUAUUUAUAAUUUUCGAAAAUUAGUAAUAUUAAAAUGUAGAACUAUAUUUUAUGCCACGUGUCAUCUUUCGGGAGAAGUUUUCUUGCUGAUGUGGACGCUCUAUGGAGUCUCAAAAGGUCUUUUUUAUUAGUAAGGAUAUGUUUAAUGUAGUUUUUCCAUUUUUUUAUGUUGUAUGUUUACAUAUUUAUUAUUUUCGAAAUUAUAUAUAAUGUUUUUUAAUAUUAUUUGAAAAUCAUCUUUUAAGUUGUAACAUUAAUUCCAAUGCUUAUAUGUCAACAUUACAAUUAUUUUCACAGUUCAUAUUAAAAAUACUUAAGUUACUAGAAUAUUACAAAACUGUUAUUGAAUAUAAUAAAGUGAACCAUUUAUUAAUUAAAUAUUCAAAAAAUAUACUUCCUUAUUCUUUUAAAUAAAGCUAUGGUGAUGACAAUUAAUGCUGCUAAAUAAUAAAGAUUUGAUAACAAUUUGUAUAUUCUCUGUCAUUUUGUUUAAUUUAUAUUAUUAAAAAAACAAUGAUUAUUUAAUUAAAAAUUGGGGUUUUUUUUGAAUUUUUAAAACGAUUAUAAAUUACUGAAAAUAUUAAAAAUUCCACAUUAAUUUUUUAACAAUAUAUUAAAAUUUUGAAAAACAUAAAUAAUCAUAACAUAUAUAAAUAGAAAAUCUCACUUAAUAGAUAUUAGAUAUUUCUUAUCUUUAGUCCAUAAAUAUACAAAAAGAUCUAGAUUUUUAUUAAUAUUUAAAAUAUCUCAUUCCGCCCGAGCGCAGGUUAUUGCUUAUUAGAUUUGAACUUUGAACAGUUAUGUGAUACUGAUGUAGCAGAAGCUACAAUAACACAAUGAUCUUAUUUAGUCUAAGAAUACCUAAGAUCAAUGUCUUCUUAACUUCGUUGAGAACACCAAUGUUUUAGCCGAAAACAAGGAAUAAAGAAAUUUUUUUAACUUUUGUUAAUCAAAUCAUAAACUUAAUACAACUCUAAGCCUGUUUAUGUGAAAACCAAAUAACCUAUAAACUAUUAAAAAUAAUUAAAAUAAUUCUAACUAAUUAAUAUCAAUACCAAAACAAAUAAUAAACUAGAUAAUUAUGAUAUUUGGAGUAUAGCCAAAUUAACAUCUAUCUGCAUCAGAUACCAAUUUGGUAAACAUAAGCACAGUCCAAGAAUUGACUAAAGGACUGCCAAAAAUAUUAUAAUAGAUAAUUAAAAUUUUAUUGUGAAGAUUUAAACGGUUAUACCAAACAACAACAAAAAAAUACAAGAGACAGUAGAGCAUUUCCACUAUGUUCUCAUUAAAAUAAUCUCAUGCCACAAAACUCUAAGUGGAUUAAUAAGAUCUUAUCUAGGUGUAAGGUGUCAACAAUAUCUCAAAUUUGGAAAAAUUUCAGUUUUACCAAAAAUUUGAUACUAUUUUCAAAUUUGACUUAAAUGAUAAUUAUUUUCAUAAAUACAUUAAAUUUGUGAAGAAAAAACUAAAGUAACUCCUCUAAAUCAUUAAUAAAAGUUAAAAAAUAAUUUAUAAAACAUUAAUACACAAUCCCACCACUAAAUACUAAACCUUUAAAAAUAAUAGAGUGUAUUUUUGAAAAAUAGUAUUCAACUAUUGGUAUUUUAAGCAAUUUCUCCUAAAUAUAGAGGUAUAUAUAGUCAUGUCCUUUUAUACCAAUGUAUUGUUAUAGAAAAAGUAUAUGCAAUCUUUUAUAAAACUAACAAAUAGAUGUUUCAGAGCUCUCUUCUUAGGACAAAUCAUAUGCAGUUAGGGCAGAUCUUCUUCGUAGCCAGGCUAAAAGUUUUAAGAGCAUAGUAGCAGUGGUAGAUGCAAGUAACCACGCAGGUCUUAGGAAGCACUGGAAGACUUGUGUUCCUCAAGAAGUCAAAGAUUUGUCUGAGCAUAUGGUACAGGAUUUUGAUAACGAAGAGAGCAGUAAUGACUCAAAGUUAAAACGUCUGUUAUCUAAUAAACUAGUAGUAGCGGUUGGUGCUUCAUCACUGUCCAAGGCCAUCUCUGCUUCUCCUUUCUUCAAGAUUAUAACUUUCAAAGUCCCAGCUUCACUGAACCUCUUCUUGACACAUACCCACAACGCAAUGGCAUAUGCAUUACCAAAGUGGCGUAUCCCUCAAAAGUGAUGGCUCCUGUCAGAGCCGGGGCCGAGGGAAGGAAAGUGAAACAUUUGAAUGGGGCUCCCAUUUUGUGGGGCCCCUAAUUUUAAAAAAAUCAUUAUAUAUGUAUAUAGGUAAUUAUAGUUAUAAGUGUUAAAUAUAUAAUAAAUCAAAGUAAAAACAGUUUAUAAGAAUUUCUCCAAAAAAAACAGUUUAUAAGAAUAAUAAUAAUAUAUCAAGCAGAUUUUAGGUUAUAUAAUUUAUAUAUGAAUAAAUUUUAUAAUAAACUACUAAUAUAAGGAAAAUAUUAUUUUUUGGUUACUAAAAUUCUUCUUUGAUUUUUCUAUAAUGGGAAUGAAAGCCAAGUUUGAUUAAAAAAAAAUGUUAUAAUAUUUUAUAUAUAUAUAUAUAUUUUUCAAAUAGGGUCCCAAAAUUUCAAGACCAGCUCUUGCUCCUGUUUUGCUAGCUCUGGAGAAAAAUCAACUUCUUUGGUGAAAGCUUCUUUGUCAGCUUAGAAGAUCAGAGCAGUGACGCAUAGUAUUAUAGCUUCAGCUGAGAAUACUAGCUUCUCUGCCAUGAGAGCUGCACAGCCUGCUUUCUAUGAGAUAAUGAGGUAAAGAAGAGCAAAACCAAUCGGUGCCUUGCCAUUGGCAACGUUUGGAGCCAGUCUUUCAACUUGUGCAGUACUGCUUCUCUAUGGAGAUGGGAUAGAAUGUGC